rfam:Rattus norvegicus chromosome 12, whole genome shotgun sequence.
GGGGAUUUGGCUCAGUGGUAGAGCGCUUGCCUAGCAAGCGCAAGGCCCUGGGUUCGGUCCCCAGCUCCA